rnacentral:rRNA from 1 species
UACGGAGGGGGCUAGCGUUGUUCGGAAUUACUGGGCGUAAAGUGCACGUAGGCGGCUUUGUAAGUUAGAGGUGAAAGCCUGGUGCUCAACACCAGAACUGCCUUUAAGACUGCAUCGCUUGAAUCAUGGAGAGGCGGGUGGAAUUCCGAGUGUAGAGGUGAAAUUCGUAGAUAUUCGGAAGAACACCAGUGGCGAAGGCGGCCCGCUGGACAUGUAUUGACGCUGAGGUGCGAAAGCGUGGGGAGCAAACAGG